ACGAACGCUGGCGGCAUGCCUAACACAUGCAAGUCGAACGAGACCUUCGGGUCUAGUGGCGCACGGGUGCGUAACGCGUGGGAACCUGCCCUUAGGUUCGGAAUAACUCCCCGUAAGGGGUGCUAAUACCGGAUAAUGUCUUCGGACCAAAGAUUUAUCGCCUUUGGAUGGGCCCGCGUUGGAUUAGCUAGUUGGUAGGGUAAAAGCCUACCAAGGCGACGAUCCAUAGCUGGUCUGAGAGGAUGAUCAGCCACACUGGGACUGAGACACGGCCCAGACUCCUACGGGAGGCAGCAGUGGGGAAUAUUGGACAAUGGGCGAAAGCCUGAUCCAGCAAUGCCGCGUGAGUGAUGAAGGCCUUAGGGUUGUAAAGCUCUUUUACCCGGGAUGAUAAUGACAGUACCGGGAGAAUAAGCUCCGGCUAACUCCGUG
rnacentral:rRNA from 1 species